CGCCGCGUGAGUGAUGAAGGUUUUCGGAUCGUAAAACUCUGUUGUUAGGGAAGAACAAGUACCGGAGUAACUGCCGGUACCUUGACGGUACCUAACCAGAAAGCCACGGCUAACUACGUGCCAGCAGCCGCGGUAAUACGUAGGUGGCAAGCGUUGUCCGGAAUUAUUGGGCGUAAAGCGCGCGCAGGCGGUUCCUUAAGUCUGAUGUGAAAGCCCCCGGCUCAACCGGGGAGGGUCAUUGGAAACUGGGGAACUUGAGUGCAGAAGAGAAGAGUGGAAUUCCACGUGUAGCGGUGAAAUGCGUAGAGAUGUGGAGGAACACCAGUGGCGAAGGCGACUCUUUGGUCUGUAACUGACGCUGAGGCGCGAAAGCGUGGGGAGCAAACAGGAUUAGAUACCCUGGUAGUCCACGCCGUAAACGAUGAGUGCUAAGUGUUAGAGGGUUUCCGCCCUUUAGUGCUGCAGCAAACGCAUUAAGCACUCCGCCUGGGGAGUACGGCCGCAAGGCUGAAACUCAAAGGAAUUGACGGGGG
rnacentral:rRNA from 2 species